rnacentral:rRNA from 1 species
GAGUUUGAUCUUGGCUCAGAUUGAACGCUGGCGGCAGGCCUAACACAUGCAAGUCGAGCGGAUGAGAGGAGCUUGCUCCUUGAUUCAGCGGCGGACGGGUGAGUAAUGCCUAGGAAUCUGCCUGAUAGUGGGGGACAACGUUUCGAAAGGAACGCUAAUACCGCAUACGUCCUACGGGAGAAAGCAGGGGACCUUCGGGCCUUGCGCUAUCAGAUGAGCCUAGGUCGGAUUAGCUAGUAGGUGAGGUAAUGGCUCACCUAGGCGACGAUCCGUAACUGGUCUGAGAGGAUGAUCAGUCACACUGGAACUGAGACACGGUCCAGACUCCUACGGGAGGCAGCAGUGGGGAAUAUUGGACAAUGGGCGAAAGCCUGAUCCAGCCAUGCCGCGUGUGUGAAGAAGGUCUUCGGAUUGUAAAGCACUUUAAGUUGGGAGGAAGGGCUGCAAGUUAAUACCUUGUAGUUUU